GACGAACGCUGGCGGCGUGCUUAACACAUGCAAGUCGAGCGGAAAGGCCACUUCGGUGGUACUCGAGCGGCGAACGGGUGAGUAACACGUGAGUAAUCUGCCCUUGGCUUUGGGAUAGCCACCGGAAACGGUGAUUAAUACCGGAUACGACCACUUCUCGCAUGGGAUGGUGGUGGAAAGUUUUUUCGGCCAGGGAUGUGCUCGCGGCCUAUCAGCUUGAUGGUGAGGUAAUGGCUCACCAUGGCUUCGACGGGUAGCCGGCCUGAGAGGGUGACCGGUCACACUGGGACUGAGACACGGCCCAGACUCCUACGGGAGGCAGCAGUGGGGAAUAUUGGACAAUGGGCGGAAGCCUGAUCCAGCAACGCCGCGUGAGGGAUGACGGCCUUCGGGUUGUAAACCUCUUUCAGCAGGGACGAAGCGCAAGUGACGGUACCUGCAGAAGAAGCACUGGGCAACUACGUGCCAGCAGCCCGCGUAAUACGUAGGGUGCGAGCGUUGUUCCGAAAUUAUUGGGCGUAAAGGGCUCGUAAGCGGUUUGUCGCGUCGGGAGUGAAAAACAGGUGCUUAACACCUGGCUUGCUUUCGAUACGGGCAGACUAGAGGUAUUCAGGGGAGAACGGAAUUCCUGGUGUAGCGGUGAAAUGCGCAGAUAUCAGGAGGAACACCGGUGGCGAAGGCGGUUCUCUGGGAGUGACCUGACGCUGAGGAGCGAAAGUGUGGGGAGCGAACAGGAUUAGAUACCCUGGUAGUCCACACCGUAAACGUUGGGCGCUAGGUGUGGGGUCCAUUCCACGGAUUCCGUGCCGCAGCUAACGCAUUAAGCGCCCCGCCUGGGGAGUACGGCCGCAAGGCUAAAACUCAAAGGAAUUGACGGGGGCCCGCACAAGCGGCGGAGCAUGCGGAUUAAUUCGAUGCAACGCGAAGAACCUUACCUGGGUUUGACAUACACCCUGCCGCUCCAGAGAUGGGGCUUCUUUUGGGGGUGUACAGGUGGUGCAUGGCUGUCGUCAGCUCGUGUCGUGAGAUGUUGGGUUAAGUCCCGCAACGAGCGCAACCCUCGUUCUAUGUUGCCAGCACGUAAUGGUGGGGACUCAUAGGAGACUGCCGGGGUCAACUCGGAGGAAGGUGGGGAUGACGUCAAGUCAUCAUGCCCCUUAUGUCCAGGGCUUCACGCAUGCUACAAUGGCCGGUACAAAGGGCUGCGAUCCCGUAAGGGGGAGCGAAUCCCAAAAAGCCGGUCUCAGUUCGGAUUGGGGUCUGCAACUCGACCCCAUGAAGUCGGAGUCGCUAGUAAUCGCAGAUCAGCAACGCUGCGGUGAAUACGUUCCCGGGCCU
rnacentral:rRNA from 1 species